GGACGAUGAAGAGAAAGCACCUCCACGGAUAGAUGAAGAAACGCCCACGGACUGAGU
rnacentral:ncRNA from 16 species